rnacentral:tRNA from 1 species
ACACGAGGUAGCCGGGCAGUCGGCCGUCGUCCACCAAAUGGGUGAAGUGCUGGUCGAGGCGGGCCAGCGCCGUCGGAUCGAGGCCGGCCUCGCGUG